rnacentral:pre_miRNA from 1 species
CAACCUCUGCAGUCUGGCUGGUCCCCAGGCUGGGUUGGGUGCAUAUCUCUUCAAAUGGUUCACCCUCAAGCAUGACUAGGAGC